UGUCCAAGAUCGCCCCCCGUCAGCGAGUUUCGCCCACGGGGGCCUUGGU
rnacentral:sRNA from 1 species